GACGUAGGUGGCGAACGUUAUCCGGAGUUACUGGGCGUAAAGAGUGCGUAGGCGGUUUUCUAAGUUUGGUGUGAAAUCUCCCGCUUAACUGGGAGGGUGCGCCGAAAACUGGAAGGCUUGAGUAUGGGAGAGGUAAGCGGAAUUCCUGGUGUAGCGGUGAAAUGCGUAGAUAUCUGGAGGAACACCGGUGGCGAAGGCGGCAUCCUGGACCGGUAUUGACGCUGAGGCGCGAAAGCUAGGGGAGCAAACGGG
rnacentral:rRNA from 1 species